rnacentral:lncRNA from 1 species
UGGGUUAGUAGGAGAUCAUGCCUAGAUUUGAGGGGGGAUAUUAUUUGAUUUUAUUUUUAUUUUUAUUUUUAUCAAAAAUUUAUUUCUCUCUUUUAAAAAAAUUUUGACGCCAGUUGUGCUCCCAUUUUCUCUCCACUUUUAUCUUCUUUUUGGUUUUUUCCUUUCCAUUCUCUUUGGUUUUGGUGGUGAAUUUUUCAUUCAAUCGUUGUUGUUGGGAUUUUGAGUUCUUCAUUAUGAUUUGGUAAG